GCACGCGUAGCUCAAUGGUAGAGCGUUCGUCUUAUACACGAAUGGCUGGGGGUUCGAGUCCCUCCGCGUGCACCA
rnacentral:tRNA from 1 species